GGGGGCGAAACGGCUUCGACGUAAAUAGGAAACUGUAAGUUGCAUGCCGAGGUCCUGUCCGCUCGUAAAACGGGUAGGAAACCAUAAUUGCCGACAACUACGGCUACGCUCUGGCUGCUUAAAGCCAGCGCCUGGCGCCUGAUGCCAGGAUAGGGUUCCAGGUGACGACAUUCUGGCAAAGCUGUCCACCUCGCCUGUGGGUGGCCGGACGAAAAUUUUAAUGCGGGCUAGCUCGAGGGAAUUCUGCCGGGGGAAGUCGCUGCGAGCGAAGAUAAAACACCGGCUAAGCAUGUAGACGCUUAUAGGGACUUUUUGCGGACGCGGGUUCGACUCCCGCCGCCUCCACCA
rnacentral:tmRNA from 1 species